ensembl:lncRNA
UAUUGCCCUGUGUGUGGACUGGGUAAAAGAUCCCUUGAUUCCAGAAGUUAAUUCCAGUUUCUUACAACGGGAUCUUCCCAACCCAGGGAUGGAAUCCACAUCUCAUGUCUCCUGCAUUAACAAGCAGGUUCUUUACCACUAGUGCCACCUGCGAAGCCCUUGUAUUACAUAAUAUAUUUAUGAUGAUUGAAGUUUACUAUUAAUUGCCAAGAAGGACAUAACUUCCAGAAUGCAUCCUCUUCAGCCUUUCCUGUUCAUUGGACUAAAGCUGUUAAGCAAUGGUGUCAAGAACCGUCAUCCACUGGUUGAAGCUCAGUACAAAACCAGGAAGCAGGCGGGUUUAGAUCCAGUAGGAACAACUUGACUCAGAUCUUCGCACUUUCACUAAGGAGGGUCGGGGGUGAGGAGACAACAUUUACAUUUGUACUGAAGCUGAUCUGAUGUGAUUGUGACAGUUUUCCAGUCAGUAUUUGUUUAUCUUAAUUUAGUCGCGUGUUAAAAAUGUGAGGGUCAAAUUUACUUCCUUUCAAGGCCACUUGGCGUACACGUCUUGUAGUCUUUGGAAGGGAUGGCAAGGAAACAGCCAUGCUUUAAUGAUGGGAUUAGAUGUUGAUGAAAGCUAGGUGUAAUAGUAGAAACAUUUUAUUGUAUAUUUUUAUUCCAAAGUAAGUGCAGUGUUAUUAUAUUUAGAUAAAUGUUCAGUGAUAAGCCAGAAAUCUUACACAUACAUUGCUGAAGACAUUUUCCCUCUGGAUUUAAUAAAAUUCUGGUACACAGAGGUACAAAAUGUAAUUCAUAAAUGUAAUGAAAACCCUAGAAAACGCUUCCCGCAUGCUUUCCUUCCCUCCCCUCCCCUCCUGUCCCUUUCCUCCUCUUCUCCAGCCCACUCUCCAGUCUUGCUUGCCUUCAUUGCUGGGGGAAAAAAAAAAAGAGCAGGUGAGCACAUAAUUAGGUUGUCACUUUUAAACUCUGGAUUAGUGGGACAUCCUGGAAGACCUCCCUCAACUGCAGUGCUGAACAAACGACUUUUUCCACCCCCAUCUGCAUGCUCCUACUACUUUUGACUAGAUGUCUUGAGAAUCUGCCAAUAUUUUUAAUUGAUCAAGUGAAAAAUACACAGGAAGUAUGCCUGUUUUUUAAUUUGUUUGUAUAUUUUCUUGAUGCGUUGCAUAAAGACCCAAAGGUGCUUUGGCUUCUGUCUGUCCUCACUGGAACUGUGGUUACUGUGGGGUGUGUGGUACUCCGUAGCACACCAUAAAUCUCCACUAGAUGUCAGCGUGUCACCAAAUGAAACCAGCACUCUCUCCUGACCUGUUACUGAAACAGCUUUUUAAUCAGAAUGCUACAGACAAGUUUUAGUAUACAGGUUAAUAAAUUAUAUUUGUCAAUGAAUAGUAAUAAAAAUAAAAUCUUUAAAAAAUUUAGUACCUUUCAUCUGAGGAUUUCAAAAUGUUUUACUUAUAUUUUGGUUUUUGCCGUAAGAGCCCCAAAGAGAUAGAGUGCAAAUAUUCAUUUUUCAUUUUACAGUAAAGUAAAGCAAGGGGACAAAAUGAUUGGCUCAAGAUCACAUAGACGAUGUCUGAAUAAAUGCAGGCUGGUAUUUCUGCCAUCACAGAAUCUACUCUACCUGUGUACUUAGAUACAGAUGCCCUUUAUUUAUCAUUUAUAUUAACUGCUUUGCCUUAAAAACAAGCUCAAGAAAAAUGGAAUAAUAGUUAACAAUUAUCGAAGAUUAUUGAUACGAUUAGUAUGGGGGUGUUUCAGAUGUAAUUUUAAGUUUUUAUAAAGACUGCACAAAGAAAAUAUGCUGAACAACCUAGAUGAAAACUUUAGAAAAUCAUAGCAAUAUUUUACCUGUGCUGUUUUACAGAUGGUGAACUCAGACCAGUGUGAGCCUUGUCUUAGCUCAUGUGCUCAAGUGCAGGAGGAAAAGCAAUUAUAAUUGGGUCUGGAAGGUUGAAGCUCUUGGGUAUGAUGGGAUUAAUGGACAUAACUGCAUAUUGUAGGUUUUUCACUGUAUAAUUUUCUUUAAGAGGAAUAUACAUAAAAUCCUGUAUAUUAAGACUUAAGUGAUUUUCUCAAAAUUGUAUAAAUACAUAAGUUACAACUGUAAAAGUUAUGUUUGUGGAUAAAGAUUAAAAAUACAUAAAUGGCAAGUUAGGGUGAUGUGACUAUGGGUAAAUUCAAUUUUCUCUUUAUGUGGUAAUAUUGUUUCUACAAUAAAUAAAAAGAGAAAACGGUUUUUAUUGUAAAAAUUCACCACAGUCCCCACUUUAGAUAGGCUUAUUUCCUAUCAGUAGAGGUGCAUUGUAUACAGCUGAAAUUCAAAAGGUAUAGUUGAGUUUAUUUCCUUCAAAUGUUUUAAUCAUAGAAACCAGGGUUAAACCGGCAGAAGUACAUAUUUUCGAACUUUACUGUGUAUUUUAGGUGAAAUAAAUGAUUGCCCAUUCCAGCAGGCUGUUUGCUGCAGUGUUCAGUGC